ACGGGAGGCGCAGUGGGGAAUAUUAGGCAAUGGGGGAAACCCUGACCUAGCAACGCCGCGUGAAGGAAGAAGGCCUUCGGGUUGUAAACUUCUUUUACCAGGGACGAAGACGUGACGGUACCUGGAGAAUAAGCCACGGCUAACUACGUGCCAGCAGCCGCGGUAAUACGUAGGUGGGAAGCGUUGUCCGGAUUUACUGGGUGUAAAGGGCGCGUAGGCGGGAUAGCAAGUCAGAUGUGAAAUCUAUGGGCUUAACCCAUAAACUGCUUUUGAAGCUGUGGCUCUUGAGUAUCGGGGAGGCAGGCGGAAUUCCUAGUGUAGCGGUGAAAUGCGUAGAUAUUAGGAGGAACACCAGUGGCGAAGGCGGCCUGCUGGACGACAACUGACGCUGAGGCGCGAAAGCGUGGGGAGCAAACAGGAUUAGAUACCCUGGUA
rnacentral:rRNA from 1 species